rnacentral:rRNA from 1 species
GUCGCCUCCUAAAAGGUAACGGAGGCGCUCAAAGGUUCCCUCAGAAUGGUUGGAAAUCAUUCAUAGAGUGUAAAGGCAUAAGGGAGCUUGACUGCGAGACCUACAAGUCGAGCAGGGUCGAAAGACGGACUUAGUGAUCCGGUGGUUCCGCAUGGAAGGGCCAUCGCUCAACGGAUAAAAGCUACCCCGGGGAUAACAGGCUUAUCUCCCCCAAGAGUUCACAUCGACGGGGAGGUUUGGCACCUCGAUGUCGGCUCAUCGCAUCCUGGGGCUGUAGUCGGUCCCAAGGGUUGGGCUGUUCGCCCAUUAAAGCGGUACGCGAGCUGGGUUCAGAACGUCGUGAGACAGUUCGGUCCCUAUCCGUCGUGGGCGUAGGAAAUUUGAGAGGAGCUGUCCUUAGUACGAGAGGACCGGGAUGGACAUACCUCUGGUGUACCAGUUGUCGUGCCAACGGCAUAGCUGGGUAGCUAUGUGUGGACGGGAUAAGUGCUGAAAGCAUCUAAGCAUGAAGCCCCCCUCAAGAUGAGAUUUCCCAACUUCGGUUAUAAGAUCCCUCAAA